rnacentral:lncRNA from 1 species
AUGGCUAGACUUCCAGGAAAGGAAACUGGAUUGGAACAAGGCCAACAUUCCCAACACCCAAGGAUGAAGGGGGACUGACAAUGUCCUCCCGAGCAAGUCUGUCCUCUGAGUCUUGUAGAUUGGCAGUUGGUCUAUUCACCCUUAACUGUCUAACAGAGACUUGGUGUUUUAUCUGUUUUCGAAAAAAAAGUGAGGAUGAGAGUCCUCAGAAAUGAAAGUAAAGGGUCACAGGUCUGCUCUUACUCACCCUUCUGAAGACCUGGACGAGCCUCCAGAAAUGUUGCAGCUUCUUUACUCCCAUAGUUCGGUGAGUGAGAGGGAGUGGCUCCCAGUGGCUUCUUCACUCCUGUAGUUUGGCGAGAGGGAGAGAGUGGCACCAAUCAACUUCUUUACUCCCGUAGUUCAGCGAGUGGGAGGGAGCGUUACUGCUCUUUCACUCCUGCAGUUUGGUGAGUUCUGAGUUCUUGUCUAAUGACCAAGAGGAGUGAGGUACAUGGACAUUGGAGAGUGAGUAAGGCAGAGUUGAAUUUUAUUGAGUGACAGAAAGAAAGCCCUCAGCAAGAGGGGACCCAAAAGUAGACUGCCAUCAGUGAGGCUGAGUCCAGGGUUUUUAUGGGCUUAGAAUAGGGGAACGUGUGCUGAUUGGUUUAUGGGUGGGCUUGGAAAAGACACCAUUCAAUUGGUUAAAAGGCAUCAUUCAGAAAGAACCUAUUGAGAGACAGUGGAUAAGGUGGGGAUGGAAGUUCUCACUCAGAUCUGUGGCUUCUAUCCUGAAUUAGUAGCUCAGUUUUCAGGCUUUAGACUGUCUUUGGCUUGAAGGUUGAGUUUCACCAAGGACCCAUCCUGUCUGCCUAGAAAUUUGUCUAUCUCCUGUGGCUAUCACAGCCAAGGUUGUGGAGAAAAAGGAACAUUAAUACACUGUUGUUGGGAGUGUAAAUUAGUUCAACCAUUGUGGGAGACAGUGUGGUGAUUCCUCAAACACCUAAAGACAGAAAUACCAUUUGACCGAGUAAUCCCAUUACUGGGUAUAUAACUACAGAAAUAUAUAUUGUUCUAUUAUAAAAAAAUUCAUGUGUAUGUUAAUUGCAGCACUAUUCACAAUAGCAAAGACAUGGAAUCAACUUAAAUGCCCAUCAAUGAUAGACUGGAUAAAGAAAACAUGAUACAAAUACACCAUGGAAUACUAUUCAGCCACAAAAAAGAAUGAGAUCAUGUCCUUUGCAGGGACAUGGAUGGAGUUGGAUGCCUAACCUUAGUAAACUAAUAUGGGAACAAAAAAUCAAAUGCUGCCUGUUCUCACUCAUAACUGGGAGCUAAAUAAUGAGAGUAUAGGACAUAUAGCGUGGAACAACACACAUUGAGGCCUACUAGAGGGUGGAGGGUGGGAUGGAGGAGAGGAUUUGGAAAAAUACUAAUGGACAUUAGGCUUAAUACCUGGGUGAUGAGAUAAUCUUUACAAUAAACUCCUGUGACAUAGUUUACCUAUGUAACAAACCUGCACAUGUACCCCU